CCGAGUAUAACAGUACCCCCCAUGUACAGGUUUUAUAGCGUUUUUGAAAGUUACAGGGUCAAAUAUUUUUACAUUGAAAAAAGGCCAGGUUGGUUACGUUGCCUUUGAGAGCGUAUGGUAGCCCAGGAAUGAGAAUUACCCCCGUGAUGGCAUACCAUUUGCAAAAGAAGACAACCCAAAGUAUUGCAAAUGGGGUAUGUCCAGU